UAAUUUUGAUAGCAUAGACCCACUACAACAAAAACGGUCUAUAGCGACACUUUUAAAUAUAGGUACAUGUCAAAAAAGUGCUGCUAGCCAAAAUUACCGACACUUUUAAAAAGUGUUGCUAUAUAUGGGGUCGCUAGGUAUAUAGUGACAGUUAAAGAGUGUCGCUAUAACCUAAAAGAAUGCUGCUAAUUUACCAACACUUAUUUAAACAUUUAGCAACCGUCGAAACUCUAUCUUGUUGGCUGCGGUGGCGGAGGAGGACGACAGGAAAGGCUCUUCGUCUAGAAUUUCAGUGGAUUGAGUGAAGAGAGAAGAAAAGAUGGUAAUUGAUUUUUCUUUUUUUUUUCUUUUCUGUUUGUAAUCGGGCCAAAUGGACUGGGUGUGGUGGGUUGAGUAGAGUAAUCUUUUAUUUUUGGUUGGAUUGGGCUUUAAAUUUAGGCAUUAGUAGAUGUUUUUUUAAGUUUUAGGAUAUAUGGGACACUUACUCAAAAGUGUCCCAAACAUGUGUCCCUAUAACCUAAUUCUGUUGUAGUGACCACGCCGACUCCAGUAAAGCAAUACAGCCAUAAACAUAGUUUUAUAGA
rnacentral:lncRNA from 1 species